rnacentral:rRNA from 1 species
UACGGGGGGGGCAAGCGUUGUUCGAAAUUACUGAGCGUAAAGGGCUCGUAGGCGGCCAACUAAGUCGGACGUGAAAUCCCCAGGCUCAACCUGGGAACUGCGUCCGAUACUGGAUGGCUUGAAUCCGGGAGAGGGAUGCAGAAUUCCAGGUGUAGCGGUGAAAUGCGUAGAUAUCUGGAGGAAUACCGGUGGCGAAGGCGGCAUCCUGGACCGGCAUUGACGCUGAGGAGCGAAAGCCAGGGGAGCAAACGGG